rnacentral:rRNA from 1 species
CCUACGGGAGGCAGCAGUGAGGAAUAUUGGUCAAUGGACGAGAGUCUGAACCAGCCAAGUAGCGUGAAGGAUGACUGCCCUAUGGGUUGUAAACUUCUUUUAUAAAGGAAUAAAACGAGGCACGUGUGCCUUUUUGCAUGUACUUUAUGAAUAAGGAUCGGCUAACUCCGUGCCAGCAGCCGCGGUAAUACGGAGGAUCCGAGCGUUAUCCGGGUUUCUUGGGUUUAAAGGGUGCGUAGGUGGGUUUUUAAGUCAGUUGUGAAAGUUUGCGGCUCAACCGUAAAAUUGCAAUUGAUACUGGCAGUCUUGAGUACAGUUGAGGUAGGCGGAAUGCGUGGGGUAGCGGUGAAAUGCUUAGAUAUCACGAAGAACCCCGAUUGCGAAGGCAGCUUACUAAACUGUGACUGACAUUGAUGCUCGAAAGUGUGGGUAUCAAACAGGAUUAGAUACCCUAGUAGUC